rnacentral:rRNA from 1 species
UACGAGGGGUGCAAGCGUUGCUCGGAAUUAUUGGGCGUAAAGGGUAGGUAGGUGGUCUCAUUUGUCUGGGGUGAAAGCCUUGAGCUUAACUCAAGAAGUGCCCCGGAAACCGGUGAGACUCGAGUCUUGGAGAGGGUUGGCGGAAUUCCCGGGUGUACGCGGUGAAAUGCGGUAGAAGAUCGGGAGGAACACCAGAGGCGA